UAUGAAACUGGAAUUUUGUCCACUAAAUAUAUGGGCCUGAAGCAUUCAGUUUCCAUUAGCCCUGCAGUGUGGAUCCCAUUGAAUAAUAUUCAGCUCCUGUUUAAAAGACACUUGACUUCCUGCAAGAAGCGAGAUUUGAAGAUUCCAGGCUACUUCUCGGUAACAAAGAUCAUUCUAAUAUCAUCCAGGAGGAGGAAUUUCCAAGCCCUCUGAAACUAUAAUCCCUACGAACAAAAGUAGCUGAACUCUAUUUAGCUACACAGUGAACGUGGCUGCUCUGGAAUGCUUCACAUUUCAUCACUGAAAUGAAAUAGUUUGUUAUAGGCCUCUACUCCCAUUGAAAACGAAAAAGUCAACAAAUAUUUUAUUUAAAAACACAUCAACAGAAUGUACAAUAGAGGUGGACCCAGAUGGUGAAGAAAGCAAAGCACGGUACUUGUCAAACAUCAAUAAUUGCAGAGGA